GUAAACGCCGUGCCUGCAGGCGCGGUCAUACGGAGGAUCCAAGCGUUGUCCGGAAUGACGGGGCGGAAAGGGUGGCGUAGUUGGCAGAGUAAAGUGAUAGUGAAAGCGUCCGGAUCAACAGGAUAUCCAUUAUCAAAACUGCUCAGCUAGAGGACGAGAGAGGUUAUUGGAAUUCCUAGUGUAGGGGUAAAAUCCGUUGAUAUUAGGAGGAACACCGAUGGCGUAGGCAGAUAACUGGCUCGUUCCUGACACUAAGGCACGAAAGCGUGGGUAGCAAACAGGAUUAGAUACCCCUGAGUC
rnacentral:rRNA from 1 species